rnacentral:ncRNA from 1 species
ACAGUACAAACUGAGCAGGCACGGAUGCAGGCCAUCCGUAUAGCCGGGUCACUUUUAGUGACAGCAGAUGAACAAUGGCAUCUGUGGGACAGU